GGUGGCGACCGGCGCACGGGUGAGUAACGCGUAUGCAACCUACCUAUCAGAGGGGAAGUAACCCGGCGAAAGUCGGACUAAUACCGCAUAAACAGGGGCACCGCAUGGUGAUAUUUGUUAAAGAAAUUCGCUGAUAGAUGGGCAUGCGUUCCAUUAGGUAGUUGGUGAGGUAACGGCUCACCAAGCCGACGAUGGAUAGGGGAACUGAGAGGUUGGUCCCCCACACUGGUACUGAGACACGGACCAGACUCCUACGGGAGGCAGCAGUGAGGAAUAUUGGUCAAUGGGCGAGAGCCUGAACCAGCCAAGUCGCGUGAAGGAAGAAGGAUCUAUGGUUCGUAAACUUCUUUUGCAGGGGAAUAAAGUGCAGGACGUGUCCUGUUUUGUAUGUACCCUGAGAAUAAGGAUCGGCUAACUCCGUGCCAGCAGCGGC
rnacentral:rRNA from 1 species